rnacentral:rRNA from 1 species
CACGUAGGGGACGAGCGUUGUCCGGAAUUAUUGGGCGUAAAGAGCUCGUAGGCGGCUUGUCACGUCGAUUGUGAAAGCCCGAGGCUUAACCUCGGGUCUGCAGUCGAUACGGGCUAGCUAGAGUGUGGUAGGGGAGAUCGGAAUUCCUGGUGUAGCGGUGAAAUGCGCAGAUAUCAGGAGGAACACCGGUGGCGAAGGCGGAUCUCUGGGCCAUUACUGACGCUGAGGAGCGAAAGCGUGGGGAGCGAACAGG